rnacentral:piRNA from 1 species
UACACAUGUUGCCUCUAGUGAGCCUU